rnacentral:ncRNA from 1 species
GAUGUGGAGUGUUAUAUCAAACAUGAGUAGAAUCUAAUAUUGAUUCAAAAGUGGACACGAAAAAAAAAGAA